CCAUGGCGCCUGUUUAUCAAAAACAUGGUUUUUUGUAAUAAUUGAAAAUCUAACCUGCUCCAUGCUUAGGUUAAUAGCCGCAGUAUUGUGACUGUGCUAAGGUAGCAUAAUCAUUUGUCUUUUAAAUAAGGUCUAGAAUGAAAGGUUGGUCGAGGAGACACUAUCUUCUUAUUAAAUAAUAAAUUUAAUUAAUUAGUAAAAAGGCUAAUGUAAAUUUAAAGGACGAUAAGACCCUAUUAAACUUAUAUUUAAUAAUUUUACUGGGGUGGUAAGAUAAGAAUAAAAUCUUAUUUAUAAUAAAUAAAAUUUGUUGACCCAAUUUUAUUGAGGAAAAGAUAAAGUUACUAUAGGGAUAACAGCUUAAUUUUCUUUAAAAGUUCUUAUUUAAAAGAGAGUUUUAGACCUCGAUGUUGAAUUAAGGUAUCUUUUUAGUGUAGAAGCUAAAUUAGAGAGUCUGUUCGACUUUUAAAUCUUUACGUGAUCUGAGUUCAGACCGGCCAUGGA
rnacentral:rRNA from 1 species